rnacentral:rRNA from 1 species
UAAUUAGGCAGAGGAAAAGAAAACAACAGUGAUUGGCCUAGUAAUGGCGAAUGAAAAGCCAAAAAUUCAUUAUGUGAAUCACCAUUUGUGGUGAAUUGUGGUACUAUUUUUCUACACUCGCAGAAUAAGUCCUGUGGAAUGAGGCAGCUUUGAAGGUGAAACUCCUGUAUUGCUGCUUUGGGUGAAAAAUGGUAAUUGAGUCGAGUUGUUUGGGAGUACAGCUCAAAGUGGGUGGUAAAUUCCAUCUAAAAUUAAAUAUGAACAAGAAACCUAUAGCAUACAAGUACCAUGAGGGAAAGAUGCAAAGCCGCGCGGAAGCGCUGUCAAAGAGUACCUGAAAUUGCUGGAAAGGAAGCAAAGGGAACCAGUGUUAACCAAACUGCAAUUCUCCAUGUACUUGUAUAUGGGGCGCUGUGGCUGGUGUGUCACCUGUUGGUAGUGGUUGCAGAAUAUUUUGAUGCGAUCUGCUGCUGGCAGUGUGCAAAAUGGUUCUCUUUUUCCCG